rnacentral:rRNA from 1 species
AUUGAACGCUGGCGGUAGGCUUAACACAUGCAAGUCGAGCGGAAACGAAGAAUAGCUUGCUAUUCUGGCGUCGAGCGGCGGACGGGUGAGUAAUGCUUGGGAAUCUGCCUAGUCGAGGGGGACAACAGUCGGAAACGACUGCUAAUACCGCAUGCGACCUACGGGUGAAAGGGGGCCUCUUCUUGAAAGCUCUCGCGAUUAGAUGAGCCCAAGUGGGAUUAGCUUGUUGGUGAGGUAAAGGCUCACCAAGGCGACGAUCCCUAGCUGGUCUGAGAGGAUGAUCAGCCACACUGGAACUGAGACACGGUCCAGACUCCUACGGGAGGCAGCAGUGGGGAAUAUUGCACAAUGGGGGGAACCCUGAUGCAGCCAUACCGCGUGUAUGAAGAAGGCCUUAGGGUUGUAAAGUACUUUCAGCGAGGAGGAAAGGGCGUAGAUUAAUACUCUGCGUCUGUGACGUUACUCGCAG